CCAAUGAAAAAAAAAAUUAAAUGGCUGCAGUAUUUUAACUGUACAAAGGUAGCAUAAUAAAUAGUUUUUUAAUUAAAAACUAGAAUGAAAGAUUUAAUGAAAUAAAAACUGUUUCAAUUUAAAUUAAAUUAAAAUUUUUAUUUAAGUAAAAAAACUUAAAUUUUUUAUAAAGACGAUAAGACCCUAUAGAAUUUUAUUUAAUUUUAUUUUUUUUAAAAAAAAUUAAAUUUUAUUGGGGUAAUAAAAAAAUUUAUAAAAUUUUUUUUUAAAAAAAUCAUUUAUUAAAGUAUUAAAUUUAUCUUAAUUUUUAAAUUAAAAAAAUUAAUUACCUUAGGGAUAACAGCAUAAUUUUUUUUGCAAGUUCUUAUUUAUAAAAAANAUUAU
rnacentral:rRNA from 1 species